rnacentral:pre_miRNA from 1 species
GAUUUUGAUUUAAAAAGUCAUCAACAACAAAGUUGUAUAACUCAUCAAGAUCUAUAACUUUUAUUUUGGUCAUUUCCUCAUCCGAUAAAGUGAUAGUAACAUUGUUCACAAAAUUCACAUAUCUCUUAGAUAUGUUACUAACAUAUGUGAAAAUUUUGUGAACAAUGUUACUAACACUUUAUCUGAUGAAGAAAUGACGAACAUAAAAGUUAUAGAUCUUGGUGAGUUAUACAACUUUGUUAUUGAUGACUUUUUUAGUUGAAAUC